rnacentral:rRNA from 1 species
CCUACGGGCGGCUGCAGUGGGGAAUUUUGGACAAUGGGGGCAACCCUGAUCCAGCCAUGCCGCGUAAGUGAAGAAGGCCUUCGGGUUGUAAAGCUCUUUCGGCCGGGAAGAAAUCGCUCAAGCUAAUACCUUGGGUGGAUGACGGUACCGGAAGAAGAGGCACCGGCUAACUACGUGCCAGCAGCCGCGGUAAUACGUAGGGUGCGAGCGUGAAUCGGAAUUACUGGGCGUGAAGCGUGCGCAGGCGGGGGAAUGCGCCGGGCGUAACCUGGGAACUGCGUUUGUGACUGUGGUGCUCGAGUGCGGCAGAGGGGGGUGGAAUUCCACGUGUAGCAGUGAAAUGCGUGGAGAUGUGGAGGAACACCGAUGGCGAAGGCAGCCCCCUGGGUCGACACUGACGCUCAUGCACGAAAGCGUGGGGAGCAAACAGGAUUAGAUACCCCGGUAGUC